AACAUCGCGCACCUGCGGGAACCUGCGGAAGGAUCAUUACCGAGUUUACAACUCCCAAACCCCUGUGAACAUACCUAUACGUUGCCUCGGCGGAUCAGCCCGCGCCCUGUAAAAAGGGACGGCCCGCCCGAGGACCCUAAACUCUGUUUUUAGUGGAACUUCUGAGUAAAACAAACAAAUAAAUCAAAACUUUCAACAACGGAUCU
rnacentral:misc_RNA from 1 species